rnacentral:rRNA from 1 species
AACGGUACACAGAGAGCUUGCUCUCGGGUGACGAGUGGCGGACGGGUGAGUAAUGUCUGGGAAACUGCCUGAUGGAGGGGGAUAACUACUGGAAACGGUAGCUAAUACCGCAUAACGUCGCAAGACCAAAGAGGGGGACCUUCGGGCCUCUUGCCAUCAGAUGUGCCCAGAUGGGAUUAGCUAGUAGGUGGGGUAACGGCUCACCUAGGCGACGAUCCCUAGCUGGUCUGAGAGGAUGACCAGCCACACUGGAACUGAGACACGGUCCAGACUCCUACGGGAGGCAGCAGUGGGGAAUAUUGCACAAUGGGCGCAAGCCUGAUGCAGCCAUGCCGCGUGUAUGAAGAAGGCCUUCGGGUUGUAAAGUACUUUCAGCGGGGAGGAAGGUGUUGCGGUUAAUAACCGCAGCAAUUGACGUUACCCGCAGAAGAAGCACCGGCUAACUCCGUGCCAGCAGCCGCGGUAAUACGGAGGGUGCAAGCGUUAAUCGGAAUUACUGGGCGUAAAGCGCACGCAGGCGGUCUGUCAAGUCGGAUGUGAAAUCCCCGGGCUCAACCUGGGAACUGCAUUCGAAACUGGCAGGCUAGAGUCUUGUAGAGGGGGGUAGAAUUCCAGGUGUAGCGGUGAAAUGCGUAGAGAUCUGGAGGAAUACCGGUGGCGAAGGCGGCCCCCUGGACAAAGACUGACGCUCAGGUGCGAAAGCGUGGGGAGCAAACAGGAUUAGAUACCCUGGUAGUCCACGCCGUAAACGAUGUCGACUUGGAGGUUGUGCCCUUGAGGCGUGGCUUCCGGAGCUAACGCGUUAAGUCGACCGCCUGGGGAGUACGGCCGCAAGGUUAAAACUCAAAUGAAUUGACGGGGGCCCGCACAAGCGGUGGAGCAUGUGGUUUAAUUCGAUGCAACGCGAAGAACCUUACCUACUCUUGACAUCCAGAGAACUUAUCAGAGAUGCUUUGGUGCCUUCGGGAACUCUGAGACAGGUGCUGCAUGGCUGUCGUCAGCUCGUGUUGUGAAAUGUUGGGUUAAGUCCCGCAACGAGCGCAACCCUUAUCCUUUGUUGCCAGCGGUCCGGCCGGGAACUCAAAGGAGACUGCCAGUGAUAAACUGGAGGAAGGUGGGGAUGACGUCAAGUCAUCAUGGCCCUUACGAGUAGGGCUACACACGUGCUACAAUGGCGCAUACAAAGAGAAGCGAACUCGCGAGAGCAAGCGGACCUCAUAAAGUGCGUCGUAGUCCGGAUUGGAGUCUGCAACUCGACUCCAUGAAGUCGGAAUCGCUAGUAAUCGUAGAUCAGAAUGCUACGGUGAAUACGUUCCCGGGCCUUGUACACACCGCCCGUCACACCAUGGGAGUGGGUUGCAAAAGAAGUAGGUAGCUUAACCUU